GAAGUCGUGGCCGAGUAGUUAAGGCGGCGGACUAGAAAUCCAUUGGGGUCUCGCCGCAGAGGUUCGAAUCCUGUCGACUGCG
rfam:Ixodes scapularis strain Wikel colony gcontig_1107729171804, whole genome shotgun sequence.